GAUGAACGCUGGCGGCGUGCCUAAUACAUGCAAGUCGAGCGAACAGACGAGGAGCUUGCUCCUCUGACGUUAGCGGCGGACGGGUGAGUAACACGUGGAUAACCUACCUAUAAGACUGGGAUAACUUCGGGAAACCGGAGCUAAUACCGGAUAAUAUAUUGAACCGCGUGGUUCAAUAGUGAAAGACGGUUUUGCUGUCACUUAUAGAUGGAUCCGCGCCGCAUUAGCUAGUUGGUAAGGUAACGGCUUACCAAGGCAACGAUGCGUAGCCGACCUGAGAGGGUGAUCGGCCACACUGGAACUGAGACACGGUCCAGACUCCUACGGGAGGCAGCAGUAGGGAAUCUUCCGCAAUGGGCGAAAGCCUGACGGAGCAACGCCGCGUGAGUGAUGAAGGUCUUCGGAUCGUAAAACUCUGUUAUUAGGGAAGAACAAAUGUGUAAGUAACUAUGCACGUCUUGACGGUACCUAAUCAGAAAGCCACGGCUAACUACGUG
rnacentral:rRNA from 1 species